CGGGAGGCAGCAGUUAGGAAUCUUCCACAAUGGGCGAAAGCCUGAUGGAGCGACGCCGCGUGAGGGAUGAAGGCCCUCGGGUUGUAAACCUCUAAAAGGGGGACUAUAAUGACGGUACCCCUUGAAAAGCACCGGCUAACUCCGUGCCAGCAGCCGCGGUAAUACGGAGGGUGCAAGCGUUAUCCGGAAUCACUGGGCGUAAAGGGCGUGUAGGCGGCCUGUUAAGUCCGAUGUUAAAGACCGGGGCUCAACCCCGGCACGGCGUUGGAUACUGGCAGGCUAGACGGCUGGAGAGGAAAGUGGAAUUACCAGUGUAGCGGUGGAAUGCGUAGAUACUGGUAGGAACACACAUUGCGAAGGCAGCUUUCUGGACAGCCCGUGACGCUGAGGCGCGAAAGUGUGGGGAGCAAACCGGAUUAGAUACCCGGGUAGUCCACGCCCUAAAC
rnacentral:rRNA from 1 species